GACGUAGGGCGCGAGCGUUGUCCGGAUUUAUUGGGCGUAAAGAGCGCGUAGGCGGCCCGGAAAGUGGGGUGUGAAAACCCGAGGCUCAACCUCGGGCGUGCACUCCAAACUCCCGGGCUCGAGGCAGGUAGGGGAGAUCGGAAUUCCUGGUGUAGCGGUGAAAUGCGUAGAUAUCAAGAGGAACACCUGAGGUGAAGACGGGUUGCUGGGCUGACACGUGACGCUGGAGGCGCGAAAGCCAGGGGAGCAAACGGGG
rnacentral:rRNA from 1 species